rnacentral:lncRNA from 1 species
AUGCAGGCUUUGAAGAAUACCAUCCACUUCUGCUGGAGGAACCGGGACGAUGAUGUCGUCGGAUUUCACAAGCACAUUCCAUUUGUUCGUGAGAUCAUCUUCGGACUCCUGGGACUUCCGGCGGAAGACAUUGUCUGCAUCCAGAGGAAUGGGCCGUUGUCCUUCUUUGACGUCACGCUGGCAACCGACGAACGUUAUCGGAGGGUGUUGGAGACGUGUAGGGUGAGUGCAAUGCAUUCCAAGCUGCUCCCCUACUCCACUGAGCCACUCUGGAGGACAGAUAGAAGAGCUGUGACUGUCCACGUCUUCGACCCCUUUGUGUCGGAGGACGUCAUGGCAGCUUUCCUGGGGGAUUUUGCCAAUGUCUUCCCCGGACAUGAGGAAGACGGGGACCUUCUGGGCAUCUGGACUGGAUGGAGACGCUUUUUAGUUCGCCUGUGUCCCGACCCUGUGGGGAUGGAUGGUUAUAGCCACCCGCCUGCGUAUUUCACCUCGGGUAAGGCAAGAGGCUACCUAUUUUAUCCUGGUCAGCCUCCCUCCUGCCAUUUGUGUCUUGGUCAGGGACACCCCGGGCAAUCAUGCAAGACAAUGACGUGCCAGCAAUGUUUGGAGAUCGGCUACCUGGCCAAGGACUGCAUAGGCCCCCGCCGCUGUACCCAAUGCGGGGGGGGGAUCAUUUCUCCCACAGCUGCCCUCAGCACAAGCCAACCUAUGCCGGGGUGGUGUGGGCAGAGGCGGUGCCACCGGGGAUGGUGUGGAAGCUCAGCCUUCACCUGCUGGUGCUGCAGAGCAGCUGGGAUCAGCGGCGGGUGCCAAUGUAAGAGAGCAGUUGUCCGGGGCCAGUGUGGCACAGUCUCCUCCUUUGCUGGGCACUGCUGGGGGGGGGGGGUCCCAGGCCAAGGAGGGGAGAGACACACCUGGUCACACGGACAUUUUACGGGAUUUUGUGGGAGUUACCAGGAAGAAGAAGCAGCGCAGGAGGGAGGCUGGGUUGAUCUCCGGUACUACACUGGGGGUUCCGGUCUUGACUGCGACCCCUCAAAAGAGCCGAGAAGAUCCUCCCUCCUCCAUAGUGGUACACAAUCAUUCAGGUUUAUUAGUUAUCAAUUUGUCUCGGGUCGGGUCUCCCCUUAG